rnacentral:lncRNA from 1 species
GGGAAGGAAAAAAAACAUACACAGCUGUGGACCACUUCUAAACACCCCUGUCUACGAUGUGAUUGGAUGAUGCAUAAACAUGGCUUUCUACAGCAAUGAUGCUGCUGUUCUUCUAAUGAAGCAAGUCUGUGGAAACUGGCUGCAAUCCUCAGCCAAUGAAGCAACUAGGACUUGGAACUGGAAAGAGGGGCACAACACUGAGGGGCAGAAUAAGCAGAAAGUAAGGGACCUGAUGAAGGUUUUAUAUCAGUUCUGCCAGUCUACAAAAGCAGCUAAUUAUUGCAUGAGCUUCAGAGCCAACUGAAAUAACUCCACAGGACGGUUAUAAAAUCCUAUGAUUAUUGGUGUCACAGACACCAGUACCACAUAUGCAAGUGGGACAUAGAAAAUGCCUUGACCGAUUCUGUGGUUCCAGAAUUGUCUGAUGAUGUCAUAGCCUGAGAACCUCUCCAGUAAUCCCAGAAGUCCUUGUUAAGAUCUCUUUCACAUUAGGUGGCUAAGAAACCAUGGCGUCUGUUGACACAACCCUGAAUAUCAUCAACUGUGCUUUGCAUGACAGAGCUGGGGGCAGUCCUAUCAACAUUACACAUCAGGGAGACUGGAAGUCCCUCUCUUGAGUCCCA